CCUACGGGAGGCAGCAGUGGGGAAUUUUGGACAAUGGGCGCAAGCCUGAUCCAGCAAUGCCGCGUGCAGGAUGAAGGCCUUCGGGUUGUAAACUGCUUUUGUACGGAACGAAACGGCUCCUAUUAAUACUGGGGGCUAAUGACGGUACCGUAAGAAUAAGCACCGGCUAACUACGUGCCAGCAGCCGCGGUAAUACGUAGGGUGCGAGCGUUAAUCGGAAUUACUGGGCGUAAAGCGUGCGCAGGCGGUUAUAUAAGACAGAUGUGAAAUCCCCGGGCUCAACCUGGGACCUGCAUUUGUGACUGUAUAGCUAGAGUACGGUAGAGGGGGAUGGAAUUCCGCGUGUAGCAGUGAAAUGCGUAGAUAUGCGGAGGAACACCGAUGGCGAAGGCAAUCCCCUGGACCUGUACUGACGCUCAUGCACGAAGGCGUGGGGAGCAAACAGGAUUAGAUACCCUGGUAGUCCACGCCCUAAACGAUGUCAACUGGUUGUUGGGUCUUCACUGACUCAGUAACGAAGCUAACGCGUGAAGUUGACCGCCUGGGGAGUACGGCCGCGAAGGUUGAAACUUAAAUGAAAUUGACGG
rnacentral:rRNA from 1 species